rnacentral:tRNA from 1 species
GGGGCUGGGGCUCAGUGGUAGAGCGCUUGCCUAGCAUCCAUGAGGCACUGGGUUCAAUCCUCAGCCUCA